GAUGAACGCUGGCGGCGUGCUUAACACAUGCAAGUCGAACGGAAAGGCCCAAGCUUGCUUGGGUACUCGAGUGGCGAACGGGUGAGUAACACGUGGGUGAUCUGCCCUGCACUUCGGGAUAAGCCUGGGAAACUGGGUCUAAUACCGGAUAGGACCACAUUUUGGAUGGUGUGGUGGAAAGUUUUUCGGUGUGGGAUGAGCUCGCGGCCUAUCAGCUUGUUGGUGGGGUAAUGGCCUACCAAGGCGUCGACGGGUAGCCGGCCUGAGAGGGUGUACGGCCACAUUGGGACUGAGAUACGGCCCAGACGCCGACGGGAGGAAGCAGGGGGGAAUAUUGCACAAGGGGCGCAAGCCUGAUGCAGCGACGCCGCGUGGGGGAUGACGGCCUUCGGGUUGUAAACUCCUUUCGCUAGGGACGAAGCGUUAUGUGACGGUACCUGGAGAAGAAGCACCGGCUAACUACGUG
rnacentral:rRNA from 1 species